AGUGAACGUUGGCGGCGUGGAUUAGGCAUGCAAGUCGUGCGGAAAGGCUCCUUCGGGAGCACUCGAGCGGCGAAAGGGAGAGUAACGCGUGGAUUACCUGCCCUCAGGUUCGGGAUAGCCGCGGGAAACUGCGGGUAAUACCGAAUGAUAUCUCCGGAUCAAAGGUGUGAUUCCGCCGGAGGAUGGGUCCGCGUCCUAUUAGCUAGUUGGUGGGGUAACGGCCCACCAAGGCUGCGAUGGGUACGAGGCGUGAGAGGGUGACCUCGCUCACUGGGACUGAGACACUGCCCAGACACCUACGGGUGGCUGCAGCCGAGAAUCUUCGGCAAUGGGCGCAAGCCUGACCGAGCGACGCCGCGUGCGGGAUGAAGGCCUUCGGGUUGUAAACCGCUGUCAGAGGGGAUGAAAUGCCGGUGGGUUCUCCCAUCGGUUUGACAGAUCCUCAGAGGAAGUACGGGCUAAGUUCGUGCCAGCCGCCGCCGUAAUAC
rnacentral:rRNA from 1 species